UACGUAGGGCGCAAGCGUUAUCCGGAAUUAUUGGGCGUAAAGAGCUCGUAGGCGGUUUGUCGCGUCUGCCGUGAAAAUCCGGGGCUCAACCCCGGACUUGCGGUGGGUACGGGCAGACUAGAGUGUGGUAGGGGAGACUGGAAUUCCUGGUGUAGCGGUGAAAUGCGCAGAUAUCAGGAGGGACACCGAUGGCGAAGGCAGGUCUCUGGGCCACUACUGACGCUGAGAAGCGAAAGCGUGGGGAGCGAACAGG
rnacentral:rRNA from 1 species